rnacentral:tRNA from 1 species
GGGGAUUUAGCUCAGUGGUUCCAGCGCCUGCCUGGCAAGCACAAGGUCCUGGGUUUGAUCCCCAGUACCUCCC